CCAAUAGCGUAUAUUAAAGUUGCUGCAGUUAAAAAGCUCGUAGUUGAAUUUCGGGACCAAUAUAUCGGUCAUGCCUCGGUACGUACUGGCAUCAUUGAUUUCUCCCUUCUGACGAACCAUGAUGUCAUUUAUUUGAUGUCGUGGGGAAUCAGGACUGUUACUUUGAAAAAAUUAGAGUGUUUAAAGCAGGCUCUCGCUUGAAUACAUUAGCAUGGAAUAAUGAAAUAGGACGUUUGAUUCUAUUUUGUUGGUUUCUAGGAUCGACGUAAUGAUUAAUAGGGAUAGUUGGGGGCAUUAGUAUUCAAUUGUCAGAGGUGAAAUUCUUGGAUUUAUUGAAGACUAACUACUGCGAAAGCAUUUGCCAAGGAUGUUUUCAUUAAUCAAGAACGAAAGUUAGGGGAUCGAAGACGAUCAGAUACCGUCGUAGUCUUAACCAUAAACUAUGCCGACUAGGGAUCGGAUGAUGUUAAUUUUUUAAUGACUCAUUCGGCGCCUUACG
rnacentral:rRNA from 1 species